AAGUCGUAACAAGGUUUCCGUAGGUGAACCUGCGGAAGGAUCAUUAACACGUAUCCAAACGUUAAACUGUGAACCUUAGAAAAAGCAGCAAUCCCUGGUAAAUCAUCGCCGAACAGUUUUCGAUUCAGGGAUGUCUGCAAGGAGCGUGCAUGUUGUGCGAGCAAGUGGCCUGGCAUCCCCAAGCAGUUAGUGUCUGAAAGUGUCAUUAACUGUGUAAGGAUGACGCAGUCACGAUCGUUGGAGGCCCACACGGCCGACGACCGGGUCACUGGGCGCAAGCCCCCCUAUAACAAACGCUGCUAAGCGCGGCCGCGAUAAUACGCAGUCGACCAAAAACCGAACAACUGUUAACAAUGGAUAUCUUGGUUCUC
rnacentral:misc_RNA from 1 species